UUUGGUAAAAGAAAACUUUCCCAAAGGGGAUGGCCAAGAGCCAGCAAUGAGUCUGGCUGUUAUCAAAAUCUUUCCUCAAAUGUCAUAUCAUCUUGUCUUUCUUCCAGAAUCCAUUUAUGUCAUCUGUUUCUAACUGAAAUUGUUGUUAAAACCCCUGAUCUAAGUUGGAUUUGGUGUUUCUGUCCACCAUCUGUUUGAUCUUUUGUCCCAUUGAGCUCUUUUUCUUUAAUCCUGGGUUUUGCUGCAAAUCUUGAUGAACCCAUCUGAGUUAUCAGAGAAUUUGUGGAUUUGUGAUUCGACUUGAUGUGAGUUGUUUGGAUUUUAUUGUCUUAGUGCAAACUUUUAUCUUCUUUCUAGGUUCUGCUGCAACUUUUGAUGAACCCAUCUGAGUUUUCAAGGAAAAGACUCUGGAUUCGUGAUUCAUCUUUCUGUGAGUUGUUUGGUUUGAUUGUUCUGGAGUAAAUUUUCUUCUUUUUUCCUGGGUUUUGCUGCAAAUUUUGAUAAACCCAUCUGAGUAUUCUAAAGAAAGAUUGUGGAUUUGUGAUUCAUCUUGCUGUAAUUUGUUUGGUUCUAUGGUUUUAUUGCAAACCUUGAUCUUCUUCUUUCUAGGUUUUGCUGCAACUUUUGAUGAGCCCAUCUGCGUUUUCAACAAAAAGAUUGUGGAUUUGUGACUCGUCUUGCUCUAAUUUGUUUAGUUUUACUAUCUUGGUACACACCCAUUAGAAAAAGAUUGUUGAUUUAGAGGAAUUCAUUAUGAAUCCUUUCUACUCAGUUGUUAAAGAGGAGUACCCAUUAAGUGAUGGUGGUAGCAGUAGUGGUACACAAGUAAAUAAGCAGUCCAUGAUGGUUCAAAUUCCCCAACCAAUGGAGGGUCUUCAUGAUGCUGGGCCUCCACCUUUCUUGACAAAAAUCUAUGAUAUGGUGGAGGACCAAACCAUUGACCACAUUGUUUCUUGGAGCAGAGGAGGUCAAAGCUUUGUUGUGUUGGAUCCAUAUGCUUUCUCUACUAACCUCCUUCCCAGACACUUCAAGCACAACAAUUUCUCUAGCUUUGUGAGACAGCUCAAUACUUAUGGUUUUAGAAAGAUAGAUCCUGAUAUAUGGGAGUUUGCAAACGAAGCGUUCGUGAGAGGCCAGAGGCACGUUUUGAAGAACAUCAAGAGAAGACGGGCACCAAAUUCGCAAGCUUUGUUUCCACAAGGCGUUGGUUCAGGUAUUGAGGUUGGAACGUUUGGAUUAGAUGAAGUCGGGCGUUUGAAACACGAAAAGCAGGUUUUAACGAUGGAGUUAAUGAAGCUCAGACAACAGCAGCAAAACACGAGGGCGCAACUUCAGGCAAUGGAGGUGAGGCUUCAAGGAACGGAGAAAAAACAGCAAAAGAUGAUGAGUUUCUUGGCGAAAGCUAUGCAGAAUCCGGAUUUCAUCCAGAAAUUAGUCCAAAAUGCUAAAAGAAAGGAACUUGAAGAAGCUUUCAUGAACCACACUCGAGAGCUUCGAGGUGUUAACAAUGGAGAACCGAGCCAAACUUCUGGCGGGUCAAAGUUGAUUAAAUCCGAACCUGAAGAAUUUGGGGAUUCUUCUGGAUUUCAGGUUUCCGAACUCGAGGCACUUGCUUUAGAAAUCCAAGGGUUUGGAAGAUCGAAAAGAAACCAAGAAGAAGAACGGGAUGAGUUCGAGGGCGGGGAGAGAGAACUCGAUGACGAAUUCUGGGAAGAGUUGUUUAGCGAAAGAUCCGACGAACAAGGUGGUACGAUCACCGGAGAUGAAGAUGUGGAUUUCUUGGCCGAAAAGUUGGAUUUCUUGGGUUCAAACCCGAAAUAAGAAGCGGGUUCUUGCUUCUAACAGUUCUUAACACAUGAAAAUAACCAUUUCUUGAUCUUCCAUUGAUGUUGGUUCUUGAUCUUUGUAGUUAGGUACAUCAAGAUGGUGAUUGAAGAUGUGAUGAUGAUGAUACGAUGAUCUUGGAACAGAUUUAGGAAGCUGGUUUGGUUGGUUGUUUUCCAUCUAAAAUUCUGAAUGAACCACUAGUGUUCAUCAGGAUCUGAACUAUCAUCUUAAUUAUUCAGAUUUUCUUGUUAUUCACAGGAGAAGAUUUCUACAUGGGUCCUCUUGGAAAUCUAACUCGGAUCGUUAAUCGUUCUUGUUUUUUUUUUCUGGGCUUGUUUGUUAAAAGUAUAAUCGUCCGUAAAAUUUGAUUCUCUCAUAUGACUCUUUCUUGAUCAUCAGAUUGGAAGCAUUUUCAUGGCUGAAUUGAAGCUCUUGUUCUGAUAUAUCUCAAGAUCGGCCCGAAGAUAUUGAACCGGAGAUUCUAUUGCUGCAAUUUCGGAACGCAGC